CUGUUGCCUCGGCGGGAUCUCUGCCCCGGGUGCGUCGCAGCCCCGGACCAAGGCGCCCGCCGGAGGACCAACCUAAAACUCUUAUUGUAUACCCCUCGCGGGUUUUUUAUAAUCUGAGCCUUCUCGGCGCCUCUCGUAGGCGUUUCGAAAAUGAAUCAAAACUUUCAACAACGGAUCUCUUGGUUCUGGCAUCGAUGAAGAACGCAGCGAAAUGCGAUAAGUAAUGUGAAUUGCAGAAUUCAGUGAAUCAUCGAAUCUUUGAACGCACAUUGCGCCCGCCAGUAUUCUGGCGGGCAUGCCUGUCCGAGCGUCAUUUCAACCCUCGAACCCCUCCGGGGGGUCGGCGUUGGGGAUCGGCCUCCUCUCACGGGGGCCGUCUCCGAAAUACAGUGGCGGUCUCGCCGCAGCCUCUCCUGCGCAGUAGUUUGCACACUCGCAUCGGGAGCGCGGCGCGUCCACAGCCGUUAAACACCCCAAACUUCUGAAAUGUUGACCUCGGAUCAGGUAGGAAUACCCGCUGAACUUAAGCAUAUCAAUA
rnacentral:rRNA from 1 species